rnacentral:rRNA from 1 species
UACGGGGGGGGGCAAGCGUUGUUCGGAAUUACUGGGCGGUAAAGCGUGCGCAGGCGGUUUUGUAAGUCUGUCGUGAAAUCCCCCGGGCUCAACCUGGGAAUUGCGAUGGAGACUGCAAGGCUAGAAUCUGGCAGAGGGGGGUAGAAUUCCACGUGUAGCAGUGAAAUGCGUAGAGAUGUGGAGGAACACCGAUGGCGAAGGCAGCCCCCUGGGUCAAGAUUGACGCUCAUGCACGAAAGCGUGGGGAGCAAACAGGAUUAGAGUACCUU